AAGCGUUGUUCGGAAUUACUGGGCGUAAAGGGCUCGUAGGUGGCCAACUAAGUCAGACGUGAAAUCCCUCAGCUUAACUGGGGAACUGCGUCUGAUACUGGAUGGCUUGAGUUUGGGAGAGGGAUGCGGAAUUCCAGGUGUAGCGGUGAAAUGCGUAGAUAUCUGGAGGAACACCGGUGGCGAAGGCGGCAUCCUGGACCAACACUGACACUGAUGAGCGAAAGCCAGGGGAGCAAACGGG
rnacentral:rRNA from 1 species